rnacentral:rRNA from 1 species
AUUGAACGCUGGCGGCAGGCCUAACACAUGCAAGUCGAGCGAUGAAGGGAGCUUGCUCCUGGAUUCAGCGGCGGACGGGUGAGUAAUGCCUAGGAAUCUGCCUGGUAGUGGGGGAUAACGUCCGGAAACGGGCGCUAAUACCGCAUACGUCCUGAGGGAGAAAGUGGGGGAUCUUCGGACCUCACGCUAUCAGAUGAGCCUAGGUCGGAUUAGCUAGUUGGUGGGGUAAAGGCCUACCAAGGCGACGAUCCGUAACUGGUCUGAGAGGAUGAUCAGUCACACUGGAACUGAGACACGGUACAGACUCCGACGGGAGGAAGCAGUGGGGAAUAUUGGACAAUGGGCGAAAGGCUGAUACAGCCAUGCCGCGUGUGUGAAGAAGGUCUUCGGAUUGUAAAGCACUUUAAGUUGGGAGGAAGGGCAGUAAGUUAAUACCUUGCUGUUUUGACGUUACCAACAGAAUAAGCACCGGCUAACUUCGUG